AUUGAACGCUGGCGGCAUGCUUUACACAUGCAAGUCGAACGGCAGCGCGGGCUUCGGCCUGGCGGCGAGUGGCGAACGGGUGAGUAAUGCAUCGGAACGUGCCCAGUAGUGGGGGAUAGCCCGGCGAAAGCCGGAUUAAUACCGCAUACGACCUGAGGGUGAAAGCGGGGGACCGAAAGGCCUCGCGCUAUUGGAGCGGCCGAUGUCGGAUUAGCUAGUUGGUGGGGUAAAGGCUUACCAAGGCGACGAUCCGUAGCUGGUCUGAGAGGACGACCAGCCACACUGGGACUGAGACACGGCCCAGACUCCUACGGGAGGCAGCAGUGGGGAAUUUUGGACAAUGGGGGCAACCCUGAUCCAGCCAUGCCGCGUGCGGGAAGAAGGCCUUCGGGUUGUAAACCGCUUUUGUUCGGGAAGAAAUCCUCUGGGCUAAUACCCCGGGGGGAUGACGGUACCGGAAGAAUAAGCACCGGCUAACUACGUA
rnacentral:rRNA from 1 species